rnacentral:rRNA from 1 species
ACAGAGGGGGCAAGCGUUGCUCGGAAUUACUGGGCGUAAAGGGCGCGUAGGCGGGAUGGCAAGUCGGUCGUGAAAUCCCUCGGCUCAACCGAGGAACGUCGAUCGAUACUGCUGUUCUUGAGGAUUGCAGAGGAGACUGGAAUUCCCGGUGUAGCGGUGAAAUGUGUAGAGAUCGGGAGGAACACCAGUGGCGAAGGCGACUACCUGGCCUGUUCUUGACGCUGAGGCGCGAAAGCUAGGGGAGCAAACGGGA